UGGGGAAUAUUGCACAAUGGGCGCAAGCCUGAUGCAGCCAUGCCGCGUGUGUGAAGAAGGCCUUCGGGUUGUAAAGCACUUUCAGCGAGGAGGAAGGUGGUGAACUUAAUACGUUCAUCAAUUGACGUUACUCGCAGAAGAAGCACCGGCUAACUCCGUGCCAGCAGCCGCGGUAAUACGGAGGGUGCAAGCGUUAAUCGGAAUUACUGGGCGUAAAGCGCACGCAGGCGGUUUGUUAAGUCAGAUGUGAAAUCCCCGGGCUCAACCUGGGAACUGCAUUUGAAACUGGCAAGCUAGAGUCUCGUAGAGGGGGGUAGAAUUCCAGGUGUAGCGGUGAAAUGCGUAGAGAUCUGGAGGAAUACCGGUGGCGAAGGCGGCCCCCUGGACGAAGACUGACGCUCAGGUGCGAAAAGCGUGGGGAGCAAAACAGGAUUAGAUACCCUGGUAGUCCACGCUGUAAAACGAUGUCGAUUUGGAGGUUGUGCCCUUGAGGCGUGGCUUCCGGAGCUAACGCGUUAAAUCGACCGCCUGGGGAGUACGGCCGCAAGGUU
rnacentral:rRNA from 1 species